rnacentral:rRNA from 1 species
UACGGGGGGGGCAAGCGUUGUUCGGAAUUACUGGGCGUAAAGGGCUCGUAGGCGGCCAACUAAGUCAGACGUGAAAUCCCCAGGCUUAACCUGGGAACUGCGUCUGAUACUGGAUGGCUUGAAUUCGGGAGAGGGAUGCAGAAUUCCAGGUGUAGCGGUGAAAUGCAUAGAUAUCUGGAGGAAUACCGGUGGCGAAGGCGGCAUCCUGGACCGAGAUUGACGCUGAUGAGCGAAAGCUAGGGGAGCAAACGGG